AACGCUGGCGGCAUGCCUAACACAUGCAAGUCGAACGGGGGUAGCAAUACCCUAGUGGCGAACGGGUGAGUAACACAUAAGCAAUCUGCCCUUCACAGGGGGAUAACAGCGGGAAACUGCUGCUAAUACCGCAUAAGACCACGGUACCGCAUGGUACAGGGGUAAAAACGAAUCAGUGGUGAAGGAUGAGCUUAUGUCCCAUUAGCUAGUUGGUGAGAUAACAGCCCACCAAGGCGACGAUGGGUAGCCGACCUGAGAGGGUGAUCGGCCACGCUGGAACUGAGACACGGUCCAGACUCCUACGGGAGGCAGCAGUGGGGAAUAUUGGGCAAUGGAGGAAACUCUUACCCAGCAAUGCCGCGUGAGUGAAGAAGGUCUUCGGAUUGUAAAGCCCUUUGAUUGGGGACGAAGAAAGUGACGGUACCCAAAGAACAAGCCCCGGCUAACUACGUGCCAGCCGCCGC
rnacentral:rRNA from 1 species